AGCGACUCGUGGGCGUCAAUACUGGGCUGAGUUUGUGGCGCGCUUAGUGAUGGGAUGGCCCUGUGCAGGACGCCGACACGAAAAGAUGAAGAGUUCAAUCCGUGCUGUCUGAACUCACAGUGUAGCAGGCGAGAUAGACGGGAAGAUCGGUAGGGUGGGAGAUGCCGGAAAGGCUUCCCGUGAGACUGGAUAAGAAAUCAAAAAUCUGGUGAAAUUGCCGGCAAGAGGGAGUUAAGGACAUUCCAGGCAGAGGCAAGGACUAUCAUAUAGGAAAUGGAUGUGAGAAUGGAUUGGUUAAUAACAACAACAACAACAACAACAAGAGAGAAAGCCUUUUGAAGGCAUCUUGCCCCUUGAGAUAGGGUGGGGCUGGGAACUGCCUUCAGCUCCCUGCAACAGAAGAACCCAAAAGGGUGGACCUGAAGGAGGAGGGCUGCAGGCAUUUGCCUCAGCGGAGAGGCUGCUCUGUGGAGGGGACGCAUAGUGGCUGAGCACUGUUCCAGCCGACCACCCUGUGCUUCUGCAUUGAGGAUGAGGAUGCCGAGGUCAUGGGAUUUAUCCAAGAGACUUAGUGAAUUCAGUAGUCUGGGCUACAGUGAUCGUCUAAUCAGUAAUAGGAGAGAAAUCAGUAAUAAUAAUAGAAUAAGAGGAGAAUUCCUCAUAUUCCCAAAGAUACACUGAACCCUCCUCCCGACCCCCACCCAAUAAAGCUCAGCCACAAACACAUCAGCUCCUAAUGUCUUACUGGUGAAUACACACCAUUCAAUUUUAUUGUUUCUGUACCAACUCAUCCACUUGACAAGCUCAGAGUUCUGUCAUGCAAUUCAUUCCUCCACAGGGAGGGAUCUUAGCACAGCAGCAAGGGAAGCCUUGUCCCUGGGAAGCUAUAGACCUCAUUGUUUCAGAAAGCAUUCCAGAUGGUUCUGCUGGAGCUGGCUUCCCUUUAUGAGAGCCCUUCCUGAGAAGGCAGAAAGUUGGCCCCAUAGAGAAGAAAAGGACCCCAGGACUGUGCAAGUCAGUCAUAUCCAGAGCAUCCCUCCCACCCUGGAACCAGCAGCCAAUAGUUUUACCUCAUAGGACUCCUCGUCACCAGCCACCAUGCCCACAGUCUUUAUG
rnacentral:lncRNA from 1 species